CAAACUCUUGCCCAACCCAAAGUCCGAACUCAUUUCCUAACCCAAUUCAAACACCUUUGAACCCUCCUGGUUUUAAUGAUUCGGAUAAACGUCUUAAUUCCUUAGAAAAGAGUUUGGAAGCCUUAGUUAAAUCGCAAACUAAUUUGACUCAAUCUCAACAUACUUUCAUGACAACCCUAACCCAAGAUAGGCAAAUUUUGCAUUCUAACGUGCAAGCCGUGUCUAAGUUAGAGGCCCAAUUGAGUCAAUUAGCUAGCGCGUUGUGUGAGCGAGAGAAA
rnacentral:lncRNA from 1 species